rnacentral:rRNA from 1 species
UCGGGAAUAUUGCGCAAUGGAGGAAACUCUGACGCAGUGACGCCGCGUGCAGGAAGAAGGUUUUCGGAUUGUAAACUGCUUUAGACAGGGAAGAUAAAAGACAGUACCUGUAGAAUAAGCUCCGGCUAACUACGUGCCAGCAGCCGCGGUAAUACGUAGGGAGCAAGCGUUAUCCGGAUUUAUUGGGUGUAAAGGGUGCGUAGACGGGAGAGCAAGUUGGUUGUGAAAUCCCUCGGCUUAACUGAGGAACUGCAACCAAAACUAUUCUUCUUGAGUGCUGGAGAGGAAAGUGGAAUUCCUAGUGUAGCGGUGAAAUGCGUAGAUAUUAGGAGGAACACCAGUGGCGAAGGCGACUUUCUGGACAGUAACUGACGUUGAGGCACGAAAGUGUGGGGAGCAAACA